rnacentral:rRNA from 1 species
UGACGCUGGCGGCAUGCUUAACACAUGCAAGUCGAACGGUAACAGGUCUUCGGAUGCUGACGAGUGGCGGACGGGUGAGUAACGCGUAGGAAUCUGCCCAUCUGUGGGGGAUACCAGUUGGAAACGACUGUUAAUACCGCAUAAUAUCUGCGGAUUAAAGGUGGCCUUUGUGCUGCCGCAGAUGGAUGAGCCUGCGUUGGAUUAGCUAGUUGGUGGGGUAAGGGCCUACCAAGGCUACGAUCCAUAGCUGAUUUGAGAGGAUGAUCAGCCACAUUGGGACUGAGACACGGCCCAAACUCCUACGGGAGGCAGCAGUGGGGAAUAUUGGACAAUGGGGGAAACCCUGAUCCAGCAAUGCCAUGUGUGUGAAGAAGGCUCUAGGGUUGUAAAGCACUUUAGUUGGGGAGGAAAGCCUAUAAGUUAAUAGCUUGUAGGAAGGACGUUACCCAAAGAAUAAGGACCGGCUAACUCCGUGCCAGCAGCCGCGGUAAUACGGGGGGUCCGAGCGUUAAUCGGAAUUACUGGGCGUAAAGGGUCUGUAGGUGGUUUAUUAAGUCAGAUGUGAAAGCCCAGGGCUCAACCUUGGAACUGCAUUUGAUACUGGCAAACUAGAGUAUGGUAGAGGAAUGGGGAAUUUCUGGUGUAGCGGUGAAAUGCGUAGAGAUCAGAAGGAACACCAAUGGCGAAGGCAACAUUCUGGAUCAAUACUGACACUGAGGGACGAAAGCGUGGGGAUCAAACAGGAUUAGAUACCCUGGUAGUCCACGCUGUAAACGAUGAGUACUAGCUGUUGGAUUCGGUGUAAAGGAUCUAGUGGCGCAGCUAACGCGUUAAGUACUCCGCCUGGGGACUACGGCCGCAAGGCUAAAACUCAAAGGAAUUGACGGGGACCCGCACAAGCGGUGGAGCAUGUGGUUUAAUUCGAUGCAACGCGAAGAACCUUACCUGGUCUUGACAUCCUGCGAACUUUCUAGAGAUAGAUUGGUGCCUUCGGGAACGCAGUGACAGGUGCUGCACGGCUGUCGUCAGCUCGUGUUGUGAAAUGUUGGGUUAAGUCCCGCAACGAGCGCAACCCCUAUUGAUAGUUACCAUCAUUAAGUUGGGUACUCUAUUGAGACUGCCGCUGACAAGGCGGAGGAAGGUGGGGACGACGUCAAGUCAUCAUGGCCCUUACGACCAGGGCUACACACGUGCUACAAUGGGUAUUACAGAGGGCUGCGAAGGUGCGAGCUGGAGCGAAACUCAGAAAGGUACUCUUAGUCCGGAUUGCAGUCUGCAACUCGACUGCAUGAAGUCGGAAUCGCUAGUAAUCGCAGGUCAGAAUACUGCGGUGAAUACGUUCCCGGGUCUUGUACACACCGCCCGUCACACCAUGGGAGUGGGUUGCUCCAGAAGUAGAUAGUUUAACGAAUGGGCGUUUACCACGGAGUGAUUCAUGACUGGGGUGAAGUCGUAACAAGGUAGCCGUAGGGGAACCUGCGGCUGGAUCACCUCCUUAA